AACGUAGGAGACAAGCGUUAUCCGGAGUUACUGGGCGUAAAGGGCGUGCAGGUGGCGUGCUAAGUCUGUUGUGAAAGCGCCUGGCUUAACCGGGCGAGGUCAAUGGAUACUGGCAGGCUAGAGGACGGUAGAGGGAUGUGGAAUUCCGGGUGUAGUGGUGAAAUGCGUAGAGAUCCGGAGGAACACCAGAGGCGAAGGCGGCAUCCUGGGCCGUACCUGACACUGAGACGCGACAGCAUGGGGAGCGAACGGG
rnacentral:rRNA from 1 species